UCCGGAGUAGCUCAAUGGUAGAGCAGCGCCCUGUUAAGGCGAUGGUUGCCGGUUCGAG
rnacentral:tRNA from 1 species